rnacentral:tmRNA from 1 species
GGGGGUGACAAGGUUUCGACUUGGAAUGGUAGUUCCAGGGGAAGCGGGCCGAGGAUCCAGACUCAACUCGUAAACGAUCGUCUGGAAACUAAUAAGUGCCGAAAAUAAUCGCACUGACUUCGCCCUCGCCGCUUAAUCGGUAGAGCCGAAGGGUCAGACCGGGUGUGCCUUCGCCCCGGAGCCUGGCCUCGUUUAGAAGGCUUACUGCUUUUCCUCGUUUCAGGGAUUAGAUAGGAAAUCUUAUGAGACUUUGGCUUGGCUGCGACAUGUCGUCUUGAGUGCAGAAGCCGAGAAAACCGUUAUGACGACUGCGCCCGGAGAAUAUCUGGUUCGCCUUUCAAGGACGCGGGUUCGAUUCCCGCCACCUCCAC